AUGAAUGAGGCCGUCUGCGGCAAAAUAAACAAAGACCACUUUACUACUACUCGGUACUCAUACACAAAGAGGUGGACUUCGCUUUGGUCUCCAUCCAUCUUUCUCAGUAGCAGAGCAAUGGCCACCCACGCUCUCGUCGCCGUCGCCGUCGCCGUGCUCCUCGCAGUCUGUGCUGCUCCGGGAGCGCUUGCGCAGACUGUGCAGGUAUGGUCCUCGUGCUCGCCGGGGAACUACACCGCGGGGAGCGCCUACGGGGCCAGCGUCCGCGGCGUGCUCAGGGACGUGGUGGUCGCCGCCGGCCGCUCCCGCUACGGCUACGCCACCGUGGUCCGCAGCCGGCGGGAGGAGGAGGAAGGACCGGACGGGCUGGCCUUGUGCUACGCGGACGGGGGGCCGCCGGAGGUGUGCAGGCUGUGCCUGCGCAUGGCAGCCGGGAACGUGACGCUGGCGUGCCCGCACGCUGCGUCCGCGGCCAUAUUGUACAACAACUGCCUGCUCCAGUACACGGACUCGGCGGCGGGCGAGAGGGAGCUCUCGCGGCCAGAGGCGGACACGGUGCAGAGGUUCUCCUUCUACAACAACAACAUGAACAGCGCCGACGAGGCCGACAGGUACGGCGCCGCGCUCAAUCGGCUCAUGGACCGCCUCGCUCCCGCCGCCGCCGAGGCCGGAGCGAACGGCCAGCCGCGUCCCCUCGCCGCAUUCGGGCAGACCAACAUCACGGCCAACGAGAGCCUGUACGGGUUCGCGCAGUGCGUGGCAGUCCUCUCCCCUGACGACUGCCGCCUCUGCCUCCAGAGAAUCGCCGCGUCGUUGCCCGUGACGAAAGGAGGACGGGCCUACUCGCUGACAUGCUACACGAGGUUCGAGGUGGUGCCCUUCUACAUGCCGCCCAACACAACGAGGAUCGUCGUGGCGCCGGCGCCGGCGGCGUCGUCCUCCUCGACGUCGUCGUCGCAACCUGCAGCGGAUUCCUCCUCGUCCUCAAGAGCUUCUAAGCAUAGCAAGUUGCGCACAAUUGUGGCAGUUUCAACCGUUGGAAUCAUUGUUUUGGUCACAACGUGCUUCAUUAUUGCUUUGAAGAUUCACAGAAGUGGGAGAUUUCCAUUGCAAUCAUUGGUAAGAAAAGACUACAACAGCCGUAGGGACAAAAUCAAGGAGAUGUUGGGCAAUUACGGCUCACUGGCUCCCAAGAGGUACACCUUCUCACACCUCAAGAAAAUAACCAAAUCUUUUAGUGAGAAGCUUGGGGAGGGUAGCUAUGGCAUGGUAUACAAGGGCGCCCUACUGAAUGGCCACCAUGUCGCUGUCAAGUUCCUUCGUGACACGACCGGAAAUGGAGAGGAAUUUGUAAACGAGGUCAUUAGCAUUAGAAGGACAUCUCAUGUCAAUAUUGUCACUCUGCUUGGUUUCUGUUUGGAGGGUUCAAAGAGAGUUCUCGUCUAUGAUUAUAUGCCAAACGGCUCACUAGAGAGGUUCAUCUACGCCGAGAAUUCCAAAGAAACUCUUGAAUGGGACAAACUAUACGAGAUUGCAAUGGGCAUAGCGAGAGGAUUGGAAUAUCUUCACCGAGGAUGCAACACACGAAUCAUACACUUUGACAUAAAGCCCCAAAACAUCCUCCUAGACCAGGACUUCGUUCCAAAGAUCGCUGAUUUUGGCCUGGCGAAAUUGUGCAACCCCAAGGAGAGCUACCUAUUGUCGAUGGACGGCAUGCGGGGCACAGUUGGUUUCAUUGCACCUGAGGUCUUCUCGAGGUGGUUUGGAAUUGUGUCCACAAAGUCGGACGUGUACAGCUUUGGUAUGGUGCUCCUAGAGAUGGUCGGAGGAAGGAAGAACUUUCGAGAAAGUGUGGAGAGAGAAAGUGAGGUGUACUUCCCGGAUUGGGUUCACAGUCACCUAACCCAAUUUGAGAGCUUGCAAUCAUUUGACUUGUGGCCAGAUGAACAUGAAGAGAUUGCAAAGAAGAUGGCCACCAUCGGGCUCUGGUGCAUACAAAUAUCGCCAGCAUCUCGCCCGACCAUAAGCAAGGUUUUAGAAAUGUUUGAACGAAAUAUUGACCAACUUGAGAUACCGCCAAAGCAGUUCAUGUACUCACCUAUACAGGAUGACUCAAAUGAUGAACAGAACGAGAGCCCAGUUUGA
rnacentral:rRNA from 1 species